GACGAACCGUGCGAACGUUGUUCGGAAUCACUGGGCUUAAAGGGCGCGUAGGCGGGCCACCAAGUCAGGGGUGAAAUCCUGCGGCUCAACCGUAGAAGUGCCUUUGAUACUGGCGGCCUGGAGGGAGGUAGGGGCGUGCGGAACUUCCGGUGGAGCGGUGAAAUGCGUAGAUAUCGGAAGGAACACCAGUGGCGAAAGCGGCGCGCUGGACCUCUUCUGACGCUGAGGCGCGAAAGCCAGGGGAGCGAACGGG
rnacentral:rRNA from 1 species